GAUAGAUGAGAGGUGGGGACUGAUAGAAAGAGAAGAUGUGAAGCUGAUUAGCCAGCUCAGGGCUGAAAUUCUGGCCAGGUUGCUGGCUCUGUUUGUUGAACGACUGAGAGAGGCUACAGAAGGUGGAAUAGAGAACGGCUUUCAGCUGCGGGAGAAGACAAUUUCCUGUUGGCCUCUGCAGAGUGAAGGCCAGGGAUUCUGCUGAGCAUUACAAGGCACAGGAGAGACCCUACAACAAGGUUCUCUGGUUCCGAUACCAGCAGUGGCACCGUUUGGGAAAACCACGGCAUACUCCAACGUCAUGACCCCAGCUUCUUCCAGGGCAAAUCCAAAGGUGGACCUCAGCUCCGUUCCUGCUCUUCCUGAAAUGGGGAAGAAGGACUGGACUACAGGGCAGUUUCCUAGCAUUGGAAACCACAAGAAGAGGCAGUGGCUUGUCUUUUGGAGAUCUCCAAGGGGGCAGAACAGAAGUACUCUUCAAGGUCAUGUUCAUCUGGGUCCUGCUUGAGGCUUGGCUUCAACCCCUUUGCCCUGUUGGUUCUGUUCAGCCCCUCUCUCUGCCUUCUAGGUCUAGAAAAUUCCACAAGGCAUGCAGUGGGUCCUCUUUCAUCUUUCUAUGUUGCUGGCUGCAGGCCUGCCUGCAUUUUGGAUUUUUAUGAAUAUUGGUUUGCUGAACGCCGUGCUUGUGAAGCCUGCAGAGAGAGAAGGCUGGGAUGGAGUGGAACCCAACACUAUCUACCAACUUCAGGGUAGAAACCCUUUGUGCUCAUGAGCCUGGCUCUUCCUGUGCGGUUUCCUCUGCAGGUCUUUAAUUCAAGUCAGCCUUCUCUGGUACUUCCUAACUCAGGGAAAACCCUGUGAGCCUCCUCUGGCCCUUCCUGCGGGGCUCUGCCUCAUUAGCUCCAUAAUCCAACACAAUGAUGGAGAGGAAGAGUCGAGCCACUCUGCGAGUGAUUUAACAGAACGCUUUUAUGACUAUUGAAAAUGAACACUGACCCCAGGUAAGAGGCGCUAAACAGGGUCUUUAAAGGCCCACCAUCCAUUUCCCUUGGAUGGACUCUCCUCCGUAAAUCACCAUGUUGUCAGUUUUACGAUGCUGCUCUAGCUAUUGAGGCUAGGGAACUGUGAAAUGUCAUAUAUAUAUGAAAUAAAAUUAAGUUGCAGGGAGCGUGCAUUAGC
ensembl:antisense Gm11186 predicted gene 11186